GAGCGCGCGGGCCUAGCCAACUUCCAGUGCGGUGCCGCCCUUUCCGCCGUUCGCGCCUGGGUUGCUGCGGUGACGCCAGCUCGGACUCAGCCAAUGGCGAGCGUCCACGUCGGGAGAACGCCUUGUGACCGCUCGUCACCGGAGGAAAAAAAGCCUUUCUCUUUCUUCUCGCGUUUCUUUCCCCUCCCCCACGUAGGCCUCCCGGUGUUCAUUUACGAAUUCAUUUCUUUCCCGUGCCUGAAUAAAACCCCACUUUUCUCUCUUGUACUUAAAGGUUGCAAGAAAGCCCUCUGGGCCCCUCGGCGUCUCCUCACACGUUUCCGGAUGCCGGAGACCAAGUUCUGUGACUGCGACGCCCACUGUGAGGGCCCGCACAGAACAUUUCUGCGACCCCGACUGACAUGAAUCAUGGGCACCUUGGAAAGGCCUCAAAAAUGCGCCUGAUAUAGUGAAAUUUCACCCUUAAUGAGCUGAGGCAGAACUGGUCGAGAGAAAGAGCAGAAGGAGAAGCAGACUCUCCGCUGAGCAGGGAUCCCGCUAUGAGGUUCAAUCCCAGGACCCUGGGAUCAUGACCUGAGCCGAAGGCAGACGCUUAACCGACUGAGCCACCCAGGCGUCCCUGAAUUGUAUUAAAUUCUUAUAUUCAUAUGAGAAACGAUGGGAGAUGCGAUACCAAGUACUUCAUCCAGGAGCAUGGGACUUCAGUUCUUCGGAGUUACUAUAAUUCACUUCAUAAUAAUGAAGUUCCAGAUAUAUUCAACACAUCAAGAAAGCAUUGCCUGAUUGGAUUGCAGAAAGGAUUUUACACCUCAGAGAUAUUUGAAUAUAUACUAGGACAUGUAAUAACUAUGGAACUUCACCACAAACACAGCACUGAAGACAGGCAUGUUAGUGAUCCCGAAGCCCUCUACAGACCUCCUCAUUAGGAGACUCUGGCACAGUAUGAGGAGGGGACGCAUCUGCCAAUAAAGUGCUACAGAUGGUUUCCCUCAUUAGCCUACCGAACUCCAAGCAACCAUCACGGAGGAGGCCUGGGAUCUCACUUGGAUAAGAUGUUAAGCUAGCCUCCUGUUCACUGUCAUUAGGACUUCUCCAAAAUAAUCUCCUUAGUGUACCCUGUUGGGCUUGGGCUUGUCUCCAUGUCCUGCUUGUAGAGAGCCGAGAUGGCGGCCCUGUGUCCAACUUGCCAAGGGGCAUUAGAUGAUUUUCAGAUUUGACGAAGUUCCCUAGCAAGUCAGACUUAUAAACUUCUUUAUCUAAAUGCAGUGGCAGGACAGUCUUGAUGCUCCCCAGAAGCUCAUUAGCACAGCUUUUGGAAUUCCAGGCAAUGCUCACCUUCGUGUACGUGCUUCCUUAUUACGACAAUCUCAUUUCUCCUUUCCCCCUCGACCUACUGAUUUAUUGAUAUAAUGGCAUUUUACUAUUGUUUUGUUUACCCUUUGUUUAUGAAUCAACCUUAAAAUCAGGGCACCAAGCCCUGGCAACCGGAAAUGUUAGUUAAGUUUAGCAGUAGAGAGGCGCCUGGGUGGCUCAGUCGGUUAAGCGUCUGCCUUCGGCUCAGGUCAUGACCCCAGGGUCCUGGGAUCGAGCCCCGCAUCGGGCUCCCUGCUCUGUGGGGAGCCUGCUUCUCCCUCUCCCUCUGCCUGCCUCUCUGCCUACUUGUACUCACUCUCUCUAAUAAAUAAAUAAAAAUCUUAAAAAAAAAAAAAAAAAGUUUAGCAGUAGAGACAGCAGGGGGAGCCCAUACUGUUUUAUGCUCUGCAGUUUCUCUGACUGGCUGAUUAUUAUAGUAAUUAUUAUAGUUGUUGUUUUACAGUUAUAACAGAGAUGUUUACAAUCUAUGUACAUUUAUAACAUGGAUGUUUAGAAUUCAGAUAAUCCCCAUGUGCUAGACUAUUAUAAUUUUAAGUCACAGAGGGUCAAUUUUUAUUCUUUAAUUAUAUGAAAUUAUUAGGAUAGCACUAAGAAUAAUUGAUAGGUAACAAUUUGGCAGUAAGAAUUUUCUUCCCUGUCUUUUAACCCAGGGAAAAACUUGUUCUGAAUCUUAUUUCUCAGAAAAUGAAAUCAGCUAAAAUCCCUAUAUAAUUUCUUGUGCCUGUUCUUUGGCAUUUACACUUUAUACCUUUUUUUCACCCCUUGAAAUAAAGUGUAAAAAUUAAAAUAUACCAACUGAUGUAUUUUUGAGACUGUGAUAGUGAGGGGAGGUCCCACCACAAUUGCUUGGUGUUCUAAUAUGACCCAGACUUAAUUUUCCAUUUUGAAGUUAAUAAAAUGCAAAAGCCCAGUGGCCUUUAAUAUUGUUUUCUUAUUCUUGAUGAGAUCCUUGGGUCAGUAGGUUUUCACUACCAUAAAAUAAUUCAGAAUAUCUGAAUGACUUUUUGCUCUCUAAAUAAGCCAUUGUAAUGUCUCUAGGCAUACAUUCUAUAUAUUGGAGCCCAUCCUAGAUUAUUCUGUUCUAUUGGAGGGGAAGGAAUUCUAGAGUGAUACUCACAUACCUGCAUUGGUGAUUUUGCCCAUAAUAUCAGAAAAGCCACCUCACAGCGUGACGUUUCAUUGUGAUAUUAAAAAGGGGUUUGUAAAUUGAAACAUUUCUAUUGAAUAAUUUUUGAAUUUCUUAAGAAAUAGCUUAAAACAAAGCAUCAACUGUAUAUUGACUGGGACACUGACUGUUGGUACAACACAUGCAAUUUUAACAAAAUAAAGAAUUAAUAUUUUUCUUUUUUGCCAAAAGACUGUAAGAUUUAAAAUUCUAUGAUGGAUCCACAAUUCUGUGGAUCCGCUGGCUUCCUCCAUGCUGAAACUAAAAAAAAGAAAAAGCAAUCUCAGAGUGAUCAGAAAAGUUUAGGAGGAGUAGCAUUUGAGCAGAGCUUUGAAGGUUGGGAAGAACUUUAUGGGGAUGAUGGUGGGGCUGUAGUAUGUAGUUGUGGUGCGAGGGAAAGACACUCCAGGCAAAAAGAAGGUCAUAAACAAAGGGUCACAGACCAGAGCAUAGGAACCUUGGCUACCUACAAGGAGUGGGGCAUUAUCAUGAAGUUUUGAUGUGCAGCUAAGCAGUUAGAACUUUAUUCUGGAGGCAGAGGGAGCCAGGGAGGAUUUUAGAGGGAGACAUACUCAUAGGAAUAAUAUUCCAGGGAGAUUGAUCUGGUGACAGGGAACAGGAUCCUUGAAGAUUUAAUCAAAUUGAUAUAGCAUCAGCAUUAGAAAGCAAAAAUAAGUUAUAAUUUAAAGUCGUGGUUUUGGGCACCUGGGUGGCUCAGUCGGUUAAGCACCUGUUUUUGGCUCAGGUCAUGAUCCCAGGGUCCUGGGAUGGAGCCCCGAGUUGGGCUCCCUGCCCAGCGGGGAGCCUGCUUCUCCCUCUCCCUUUGCCCCUCUCCCUGCUUGUGCUUGCUCACUCUCAAGUAAAUAAAAUCUUAAAAAAAAAAAUAAAGUCGCUGUUCACAUAAUUUUAGAAUAUGAUUUAAAGUGUUUUUAUAAAAAAAAAUAAAGUGUUUUUAUAUCAUCUUCCUUGAUUAUUAUAGUCAAUGCUAAAAUCCAGGAGAACAAGUCUGAGUAGAGCUGUGUGUGGAUAUUUUCUUCCCAUGAAUAUUAAUAAUAGUACCUUGCAUUUGGGGAGCAUGUUUUAUUAUUCCAAAUAUCAACAUAUUGUUUUAUUCUUUUAUCAACCUGGUAAGGUUAAUGGAUACUUAUAAAAAUAACAGGUGUUACAUGCCCAACCCUUCGCCCCCACAUUAUCUUUUGGUUGCAUAUGUAAAUGUCGAUCGAGAGAUUAGAAUGAAGCUUAUGGUUGUGUCAGUUUCUCUGUGAAGAGUUGACAAUAUUAUUCUAUGGUUAUUAUUAUUUUUUUAAAUUUUUUUUUUUUUUUUGAGAGAGAGAGAAUGAGCAGGGGGAGGGCAGAGGGAGAGGGAGAAGCAGACUCCCUCCUGUGACGGGAGCCCUACACAGGCUUGAUCCCAGCACCCCGAGAUCAUGACCUGAGCUGAAAUCAAAAGUUGGAUGCUUAACCGACACUGAGCCACCCAGGUGCCCCUCUAUGGCUAUUUGUUUCAAAGAAGCUUUGAAUUUCAUUUUGUAGGUGUCUUACACUGUGGUACUAUCAUUGCUUCAAUUAUAUACUCAAAGCAAACACGUUUUGGAGGGAAAUAGAGUGUCAUCCAGUUAUAUAUGUUGUUUGGUAUAUCUUUUUUUUUCUCUGAAAAAAUUUACAAUUUAUAUAUAUAUAUACUAUACUGGUAUUGAUAUUAAUACUGUCUUUUAUUUGAUCCAGAAAGAAAGAGAAAGGUACGGUAACAUGAAAAAAGCAAAAGGGAGUCCUAACUAUACACAGAGAAGAGAUUUUUUUAAGAUUUUUAAAAUUUUAAUAAAGUGUGAUAUUUUUUAAAAAUUUGAAGCAAAUACUGUUUAUAUAAAAAUGUGAAGAAAGUACAGUUUUAAAUAAAUAAACAGUUUCAAUAAAUUUAAAAGCCAUUUACUAUACUUUUAAAAAAUACCAGAAUAUAUUGGCCGGGGGAGCCCAGUAAGACAAUCAUGUUUUUCUAAACUACCUGACCCAAAGUGGGAACUUAGAUGAGAUUGGGUGUGUUCAGGGUGGUAAAAAAGUGGAAACUUAGAAUAGUUAGCUGCUCAGUGUUCAAACUCUUUUAAUGCAGUGCAUAUGUUUGUCUGUUGAACUAAUAGUUCCAGAUUCCUGCAACACAUCAUUUGUGGCUUAUGUGGCCGUAAUUAUUAACUUUGACUUCUAUGUCAAUGCUUGGUUCCAUCUAACUUUAUAAAAAUACAUAGGGCUCUUUAGACCCUGUGUUUGGCAUUAUCACAAUUUUUGCUUGGCUCAGACAGGGCAGGUUGAUUAUCAUUAAAGUGUUAUUUAUUUCUAUUUUAUUAAGCCCCUUUUACAUUCAUGUUACAGGUUAAUUUAUACUUUUAUUUCAUGCACUACUUGGCUUUACUGAUUAAUAUGCCCCAUGGCAUUCAAUAAAGUCAGGCAGUGGAGGAAAUAAGAGUGGUAUUAAUUUCUAACAUUGCUAUAAAUUUGCCUUAAUAAAACUAGCUCAGUACCAUUGCAGAAUUAAUACAAUGGAUGCUUCCAAAUUGUUAACAAAGAUGCAACUAAACAAUUUUCCUUCCUGAAUUUAACCUCCCCCAAUUGCCUUUUCUUUCGAGUGUUGAAAUGAAACCUGCCAUAUAUUUUUUCCCUCUUUAAAAGGUAAUCCGAGAGUUGGCAUAAUAUGAUAGUACACAGCCCUGCAUUUGACUUAUGCCAACACUUUACUCAGAUUUAAGGUUAUAAACUAUGCAAAUUAACACAGGCCUUGGGGGUGGGGGGGGAUGACUUUGUUCAUGUAAGAAUUUUCAUUAAGAUUAAAAUUAUCUAAAAAAAAAAAUGAUGUCUCCAGCAUCAGUUAUUUGUCCUUCUUUAGUGUGUUAACGCUCAGUCCCAGUAAUAAAUAUUAUUACUGUGAAAUCUGAUAACAUGAAGAGGCCGGUGAAAAAUCUAUGUGCUGGAAUAAUUUUUUUGUCAGAUAACCCAACACUCCCACCUCAACUGCUUAACCAAAUAAGGUUAGAAUUAGGAUUCAUGGGGGGGUGCCUGGGUGGCUCAUCAUUAGGCGUCUGCCUUCGGCUCAGGUUAUGGUUCCAGGGUCCUGGGAUCCCCGAGCCCUGGAUCGGGCUCCCUGCUCAACGGGAGGCCUGCUUCUCCCUCUCCCACUCCCCCUGCUUGUGUUCCCUCUCUUGCUGUGUCUCUCUCUGUCAAAUAAAUAAAUAAAAUCUUAAAAAAAAAUAAUUAGGAUUCAUAGGAAUUUAUGAAGAUAAGGACACACUACCACCCACUGUUUUUUGGGUCACAAAAUUUUGAUGAUAAGGAAAGUACUCCAUUGAUAAGCAACCAAAUUCAUAUAUUAAAAGACAACACAUUCGGGAGCGCCUGGGUGGCUCAGUUGGUUAAGCGACUGCCUUCGGCUCAGGUCACGAUCCUGGAGUCCCGGAAUCGAGUCCCGCAUCGGGCUCCCUGCUCGGCAGGGGGUCUGCUUCUCCCUCUGACCCUCUUCCCUCUCGUAUCUCUGUCUCUCAUUCUCUCUCUCUCAAAUAAAUAAAUAAAAUAUUAAAAAAAAAUAAAAUAAAAGACAACACAUUCUUUCCUUUUCAUUUUAUUAGACUGUAGCUAGGCUGGCCAAAAAAAAAUUGUUAAAAUCAGAAAUUUGCCCUCGUUUCCAUUAUCCUGAAAGAAUAAGUAUACUUUAUUCACUCUGAAGUUCCCCUUUUCUUGCCUUUCAACAAUUUAAGUUCUAGCAUUUAUGGAUUAGAAAGAAAAUUGAUUUAAAAAAUACAGCAAAUAUUAAAAAAUUCUCCAUUGCAUAAAAGUGUCAGGAAAUGUGUUCAUUCAACAGAUAGAUAUUAUUGAUUAGCCUCUCUGCCAGGCACUAAUCUCAUCCUGGGGACAGAACUGAGAUUAUAGUCUCUGUCUCCUUAGAAUAUACAGACUUGCUCUUUUAUUUACUUUAAUAAAAUGGUGGUGAAAUUUCACACAUUAGUAAGGAAGAUAUUUUGGGACAGAAAAAAAUUCUUAUUUGGGGUCUGUCUUUUGAAUGGAUGAGGAACUUCUAGAUUCCUUAAAGUCCCCUCAAAUCACACCAAAGUAACAGGCA